GAUCCUUCUUCAGGCGAGCGUUGGACACAAAUGGCUGGAAUUCUCUACAGCAGCCAUUCUCAUGAUGGAGGCCCAAAAUCAGGUGUCCAAGGCCUGUCGCGACGUUUCGGAUUUUCUGAUCCUUCUUCAGGCGAGCGUUGGACACAAAUGGCUGGAAUUCUCUACAGCAGCCAUUCUCAUGAUGGAGGCCCAAAAUCAGGUGUCCAAGGCCUGUCGCGACGUUUCGGAUUUUUCUGAUCCUUCUUCAGGCGAGCGUUGGACACAAAUGGCUGGAAUUCUCUACAGCAGCCAUUCUCAUGAUGGAGGCCCAAAAUCAGGUGUCCAAGGCCUGUCGCGACGUUUCGGAUUUUCUGAUCCUUCUUCAGGCGAGCGUUGGACACAAAUGGCUGGAAUUCUCUACAGCAGAGGGUUAGGGUUAGGAAUGAAUGAAAUCCAGAAGCUGAAACAUGGUUCAACCUCGGUAAAUGCACUGUCCUUCUUAUACUCCUGAUGGCCACCUGUUUACUGGACACCACUCUUCGACUUCCAGGGGCCCAAAAACAUCUUUCUGUUGAUGCAAAAAAUCCCAAAAUGGGGUUAGGGUUAGGUUAGGGUUAGGGUUAGGGUUAGGUUAGGUUAGGUUAGGGUUAGGGUUAGGGUUAGAGUUAGGGUUAGGGUUAGGGUUAGGUUAGGGUUAGGGUUAGGGUUAGGUUAGGGUUAGGGUUAGGGUUAGGGUUAGGGUUAGGGUUAGGGUUAGGGUUAGGGUUAGGGUUAGGGUUAGGGUUAGGGUUAGGGUUAGGGUUAGGGUUAGGGUUAGGGUUAGGGUUAGGGUUAGGGUUAGGGUUAGGGUUAGGGUUAGGGUUAGGGUUAGGGUUAGGUUAGGUUAGGGUUAGGGUUAGGGUUAGGGUUAGGGUUAGGGUUAGGGUUAGGGUUAGGGUUAGGGUUAGGGUUAGGGUUAGGGUUAGGGUUAGGGUUAGGGUUAGGGUUAGGGUUAGGGUUAGGGUUAGGGUUAGGGUUAGGGUUGGUUAGAUUAGGGUUAGGUUAGGGUUAGGGUUAGAGUUAGAGUUAGGGUUGGGAUUAGGGGUUAGGGGUUAGGGUUAGGGUUAGGGUUAGGGUUAGGGUUAGAGUUAGGGUUAGGUUAGGUUAGGUUAGGGUUAGGGUUAGGGUUAGGGUUAGGGUUAGGAAUGAAUGAAAUCCAGAGGCUGAAACAUAGUUCAACCUCGGUAAAUGCACUGUCCUUCUUAUACUCCUGAUGGCCACCUGUUUACUGGACACCACUCUUCGACUUCCAGGGGCCCAAAAAUAUUUUUCUGUUGAUGCAAAAAAUCCCAAAAUGGGGCUAGAGAGCUUAGGGCUCUUUCUCCUAGGUCUGCACAGCAACUGUGGCUGGUAGGUUUAGUGUGUGUGGGGCAGUUCACGUUUCCCCAAAGAAAUAAACAUUGUGCAUGUCACUUCAUCGGUGUAGAUGAAGGAAAUAAAUUUUAUUUGACUCUCUUGUCUUUUAAAUACACUUUGUGUGACUCUCUUCUCAUAUGUGUGGCUCUCUACAUCACCCAGUCUCAUGAUGGAGGCCCAAAAUCGGUGUCCAAGGCCUGUCGC
ensembl:lncRNA